CCUACGGGAGGCAGCAGUGGGGAAUCUUGCGCAAUGGGCGAAAGCCUGACGCAGCCAUGCCGCGUGAAUGAUGAAGGUCUUAGGAUUGUAAAAUUCUUUCACCGGGGACGAUAAUGACGGUACCCGGAGAAGAAGCCCCGGCUAACUUCGUGCCAGCAGCCGCGGUAAUACGAAGGGGGCUAGCGUUGCUCGGAAUUACUGGGCGUAAAGGGAGCGUAGGCGGAUAGUUUAGUCAGAGGUGAAAGCCCAGGGCUCAACCUUGGAAUUGCCUUUGAUACUGGCUAUCUUGAGUACGGAAGAGGUAUGUGGAACUCCGAGUGUAGAGGUGAAAUUCGUAGAUAUUCGGAAGAACACCAGUGGCGAAGGCGACAUACUGGUCCGUUACUGACGCUGAGGCUCGAAAGCGUGGGGAGCAAACAGGAUUAGAUACCCUGGUAGUCCACGCUGUAAACGAUGAGUGCUAGUUGUCGGCAUGCAUGCAUGUCGGUGGACGCAGCUAACGACAUUAAGUACACCUCCGCCGUGGGGAGGUACGGUCGGCGAAGAAUUAAACUUAACUAAAUUAGAAGUUAGUUACGGCGUGAGACGUUGCCGACGGACGACGACGAGGGGAGGUUAGG
rnacentral:rRNA from 1 species